rnacentral:rRNA from 1 species
UACGUAGGGGGCAAGCGUUGUCCGGAAUCAUUGGGCGUAAAGCGCGCGUAGGCGGCCCGGUAAGUCCGUUGUGAAAGUCAAAGGCUCAACCUUUGAACGCCGAUGGAUACUGCCGGGCUAGAGUCCGGAAGAGGCGAGUGGAAUUCCUGGUGUAGCGGUGGAAUGCGCAGAUAUCAGGAAGAACACCCGUGGCUAAGGCGGCUCUCUAGUACGGUACUGACGCUGAGACGCGAAAGCGUGGGGAGCGAACAGG